rnacentral:rRNA from 1 species
UCCCAUUCGUUAGCGGCGGACGGGUGAGUAACACGUGGGCAACCUGCCUGUAAGACUGGGAUAACUUCGGGAAACCGGAGCUAAUACCGGAUAAUUUCUUUCUUCACAUGGAGAAAGGUUGAAAGACGGCUUCGGCUGUCACUUACAGAUGGGCCCGCGGCGCAUUAGCUAGUUGGUGAGGUAACGGCUCACCAAGGCGACGAUGCGUAGCCGACCUGAGAGGGUGAUCGGCCACACUGGGACUGAGACACGGCCCAGACUCCUACGGGAGGCAGCAGUAGGGAAUCUUCCGCAAUGGACGAAAGUCUGACGGAGCAACGCCGCGUGAGUGAUGAAGGUCUUCGGAUCGUAAAACUCUGUUAUCAGGGAAGAACAAGUAUCGGAGUAACUGCCGGUACCUUGACGGUACCUGACCAGAAAGCCACGGCUAACUACGUGCCAGCAGCCGCGGUAAUACGUAGGUGGCAAGCGUUGUCCGGAAUUAUUGGGCGUAAAGCGCGCGCAGGCGGUUUCUUAAGUCUGAUGUGAAAGCCCACGGCUCAANCGUGGAGGGUCAUUGGAAACUGGGGAACUUGAGUGCAGAAGAGAAGAGCGGAAUUCNNCGUGUAGCGGUGAAAUGCGUAGAGAUGUGGAGGAACACCAGUGGCGAAGGCGGCUCUUUGGUCUGUAACUGACGCUGAGGCGCGAAAGCGUGGGGAGC